UACCCGCAGCACAAGUGGUGGUCAUUAUUAUUGGGCCUAAAGCGUCCGUAGCUGGCCUGUUAGAUGCCUGGGUAAAUCGAUGCGCUCAACGCAUCGAACUCCGGGUAGACCGGCAGGCUUGGGACCGGGAGAGGCGUGAGCUACUCGGGGGGUAGGGGUAAAGUCCUGUAAUCCUCCGGGGAGGACCAGUGGCGAAGGCGUCACGCUAGAACGGCUCCGACAGUGAGGGACGAAGCCCUGGGGCGCAAACCGG
rnacentral:rRNA from 1 species